rnacentral:rRNA from 1 species
CCUACGGGUGACAGCAGUGAGGAAUAUUGGUCAAUGGGCGCGAGCCUGAACCAGCCAAGUAGCGUGAAGGAUGACGGCCCUACGGGUUGUAAACCUCUUUUAUAAAGGAAUAAAGUGAGGCACGUGUGCCCUUUUGUGUGUACCUUAUGAAUAAGGAUCGGCUAACUCCGUGCCAGCAGCCGCGGUAAUACGGAGGAUCCGAGCGUUAUCCGGAUUUAUUGGGUUUAAAGGGAGCGUAGUUGGGUUGUUAAGUCAGUUGUGAAAGUUUGCGGCUCAACCGUAAAAUUGCCUUUGAUACUGGCAGUCUUGAGUGCAGGUGAGGUAGGCGGAAUUCGUGGUGUAGCGGUGAAAUGCAUAGAUAUCACGAAGAACUCCGAUUGCGAAGGCAGCUUACUAGACUGCAACUGACAUUGAUGCUCGAAAGUGUGGGUAUCAAACAGGAUUAGAUACCCCUGUAGUC